rnacentral:rRNA from 1 species
GACGAACGCUGGCGGCGUGCUUAACACAUGCAAGUCGAACGGAAAGGCCCUGCUUUUGUGGGGUGCUCGAGUGGCGAACGGGUGAGUAACACGUGAGUAACCUGCCCUUGACUUUGGGAUAACUUCAGGAAACUGGGGCUAAUACCGGAUAGGAGCUCCUGCUGCAUGGUGGGGGUUGGAAAGUUUCGGCGGUUGGGGGUGGACUCGCGGCUUAUCAGCUUGUUGGUGGGGUAGUGGCUUACCAAGGCUUUGACGGGUAGCCGGCCUGAGAGGGUGACCGGCCACAUUGGGACUGAGAUGCGGCCCAGACUCCUACGGGAGGCAGCAGUGGGGAAUAUUGCACAAUGGGCGGAAGCCUGAUGCAGCAACGCCGCGUGCGGGAUGACGGCCUUCGGGUUGUAAACCGCUUUCGCCUGUGACGAAGCGUGAGUGACGGUAAUGGGUAAAGAAGCACCGGCUAACUACGUG